CGUUUUUACUGGGCUGACAUGGUAAAGGAGGGCCCUUGUGUCAGCAGGGCCAUUUCCAUGGCGGUUGAAGCAGCUCCAGCACUUCCAAAUGCUUUGCUGUGCCUGCUGCGUUUUGGGACGCGGACUCCAGAAAGAAGCUUUACAAAGGCGGAAGUCAAUUGCUACAGAGUAUUUACAUCUCUAUCAAUUGUGUUUAUAGCGCGGUCCAGGAGGUCCUUGGCAGAAACUUUGCAUUUGUAUGUGCUUGUUUUGGCUCUGGCCAGCCAGAGUUUAGGUGGUAAACACUCAGACCCAGGCCCAGAGAGGAGAAACCAACAGGACCACUCAGCGCAGCCUUUGAAGCCAAAUCCAGGGAUGCCUCCAAAUUUUGUGUUCAUUUGCCGUUAUUCUCCUGUUGAGACUAUCAUUUUGCGAGGUGCAUGCCUUGGUGUCCUCAGCAGUACAUAUCCACCUUCCUUGGUGUUACGCGUUUGUUGCUGUGUUCGGUAUGGCUUCCUUCUAUAGCGACCCUCUCAUGAGAUAGACAUAUGGUUUAAAACUUACCCUUGAGGAGAUCCUCACACGGGGCCCGAGGACCAGGAGCGCCAGCUGCCCUUUCUGUGAGAGCCACAGGGUCACGGUCGCGUUGGGCUCAUUCACCAGCAUGGCAGGAACCUAGCAGAGUGCCUGGAACAUGCCAGAUGCUCACUCGAGAUUUGGGAAUGAAUGGAGUGAUUGACUGAAUGAAUAAAUGCAGAUUUGAGACACAUAGCAGCUUACUUCUUUAUUUUAGAAAAUAGCAACCUCUGCUUUAAAUAUCAUCUUUUGAGCUAUUGCCAUUUUCUCCCUUAUUCAGAUUCAAACUUCUCGAUUAGUGGAAAGAAAAACAGCAUCUCCAAUAUUGCAGCAUCAUGAAACAACUGGUAUGAACUGGAAAACAUACUUGGACAGAAAAAAAAAAGAACAUCAGUGUCUAUAAAAUCUACUGUGAUUAGGUCUCAGACUGAUUUCCGGGUUCACAAUUUUUUCAUAAAAUGACUGUUUUGUCGAGAACUAAAACAGAGACAUGUGAGUGUUCUGAUUUACAUUUUAUCUCCUCCACCUUUUAAUCCACACUAGAAACUGUUUUUCAGCUUUAUCUCUUUAUACGAACGCCUUUUAGAAAUGCUAGAAAUUUCCAUCAACAACACACUUACAAAUGUGUGGGUUCCAAACAGUUAAUUUUUGCCACAGUUCAUAUAUAAUUUCACUAGGUGGUUGUAGAUUUUUUUGCUAUGGCCAGGAAGAAAAUUUAGAAUUAGAAAAGAAAGUUUAUAUUUCAAUAGAAAUGAAAUCACAAAAGUCACAGGGGUUGGGGUUCAAAUCUAGACUCCCUGGGACCAGAUAUCUUUAUUGGGGAUCUUCUUUUGGGAGGGGAGGAAAACUUUUACAGGCAGAGACAGCCCUCUCCUCAACCUCUCUCCCACUGCUGUUCCAAGUCGGCUGGUAGCCCUGCCCCGUGUGCAGGUGGGGACAAUGCAGCCCGCUAUGGUGGUGGGCCGACUUACAAUGCAGGCAGACUACCAGAGCAGCCCUGGCCUGGUCUCCUUCUUUUCCUAGCCUUUUCAGAAAGGUCUCAGAUCGAGAAACAAAGCCUCAGAUCCUAUUUGCAAUCCUCCUUCCUCAUUCAUAUAAUCUCAAGAAAAAGAAAAACACCAAACUUUCCUCAUACUCAUAAUUCUAAAGCAUGCCUAACUUUUUGAGCAACUGCAGAUCCAAAGGCUUGUAAUCUACCAA